rnacentral:rRNA from 1 species
UACGAAGGGGGCGAGCGUUGUUCGGAUUUACUGGGCGUAAAGGGCGCGUAGGCGGCGGGUCAAGUCGAGUGUGAAAUUUCGGAGCUUAACUCCGAAACUGCAUUCGAUACUGCGGUGCUUGAGGACUGGAGAGGAGACUGGAAUUCAUGGUGUAGCAGUGAAAUGCGUAGAGAUCAUGAGGAAGACCAGUGGCGAAGGCGGGUCUCUGGACAGUUCCUGACACUGAGGCACGAAGGCCAGGGGAGCAAACGGG